AGAAUGAGUGCUAGCAAGAGAUAAGGAUCUCUCAUUGAAGAAAUGAGGCAUUUUAUCCUUGAUGAAUGUGACAAAAUGCUCGAAGCGCUUGGUAUUGAAGGAGAGUUUUAAAAUAUAUUGUUCCAUGAAUGAUGGAAUCAAUAAUCUUAUUCUAGAUUUUUUUGAUAUGUCAAGACAUGAUGCUGUCAAAGCCCUCAACAUUUAUAAAAGAGCAGGCCACCAGGUCUCAUUGCCCUUUAUUUUUAUUUGAAGU